rnacentral:rRNA from 1 species
UGGGGAAUAUUGGACAAUGGGGGCAACCCUGAUCCAGCAAUGCCGCGUGAGUGAUGAAGGCCUUAGGGUUGUAAAGCUCUUUCGGCGGGGACGAUGAUGACGGUACCCGCAGAAGAAGCCCCGGCUAACUUCGUGCCAGCAGCCGCGGUAAUACGAAGGGGGCUAGCGUUGUUCGGAAUUACUGGGCGUAAAGGGCGCGCAGGCGGCGGAUCAAGUCAGACGUGAAAGCCCCGGGCUUAACCUGGGAACUGCGUUUGGGACUGGUUUGCUAGAGAUCGGGAGAGGAGAGUGGAAUUCCCAGUGUAGAGGUGAAAUUCGUAGAUAUUGGGAAGAACACCGGUGGCGAAGGCGGCUCUCUGGACCGAUACUGACGCUGAGGCGCGAAAGCGUGGGGAGCAAAC